rnacentral:rRNA from 1 species
GACGAACGCUGGCGGCGGGCCUAACACAUGCAAGUCGAACGCUCGUAGCAAUACGAGAGUGGCAGACGGGUGGGUAACACGUGGGAACCUUCCCUAUGGUUCGGAAUAGCUCAGGGAAACUUGAGGUAAUACCGGAUAAGCCCUUCGGGGAAAGAUUAUCGCCAUUGGAUGAGCCCCGCGUCGGAAUUAGCUAGUUGGUGAGGUAACGGCUCACCAAGGCGACGAUCCGUAGCUGGUCUGAGAGGACUGAUCAGCCACACUGGACUGAGACACGGCCCAGACUCCUACGGGAGGCAGCAGUGGGAAUAUUGGACAAUGGGCGCAAGCCUGAUCCAGCCAU